rnacentral:rRNA from 1 species
UGGGGAAUUUUGGACAAUGGGCGCAAGCCUGAUCCAGCAAUGCCGCGUGCAGGAAGAAGGCCUUCGGGUUGUAAACUGCUUUUGUCAGGGAAGAAAUCCCUUGGGAUAAUACCCCGGGGGGAUGACGGUACCUGAAGAAUAAGCACCGGCUAACUACGUGCCAGCAGCCGCGGUAAUACGUAGGGUGCGAGCGUUAAUCGGAAUUACUGGGCGUAAAGCGUGCGCAGGCGGCUUUGCAAGACAGAUGUGAAAUCCCCGGGCUCAACCUGGGAACUGCAUUUGUGACUGCAAGGCUAGAGUACGGUAGAGGGGGAUGGAAUUCCGCGUGUAGCAGUGAAAUGCGUAGAUAUGCGGAGGAACACCAAUGGCGAAGGCAAUCCCCUGGACCUGUACUGACGCUCAUGCACGAAAGCGUGGGGAGCAAACAGG